rnacentral:rRNA from 1 species
GUGUCAGCCGCCGCGGUAAUACGUAGGGUCCAAGCGUUGUCCGGAUUUAUUGGGCGUAAAGAGCUCGUAGGCGGUUCCGUAAGUCGGAUGUGAAAACUCAGGGCUCAACCCGGAGACGCCAUCUGAUACUGCGGUGACUGGAGUCUGGUAGGGGAUCACGGAAUACCUGGUGUAGCGGUGAAAUGCGCAGAUAUCAGGUGGAACACCGAUGGCGAAGGCAGUGAUCUGGGCCAGUACUGACGCUGAGGAGCGAAAGCGUGGGGAGCAAACAGGAUUAGAUACCCCCGUAGUCC